UUGGUAGUUCAAACCUUGGGCCUUCUGCAAGACGUUUUUUUCCCAAUCGUAGAAUUACCGGAACAAUAUAACUCGAAAUUUCAUAGUAUUUAGAAUAAGCAAACAUUUCUUACUAGCUUAUACUUCCUCUGCAUAUCGACUUAUCGACAUAUCGACGAAAACGUUCGGGUUACCUGUGUUAGAAGGCCUGCUGCGACAGUUUGAACUUUGGAAGCGGCCGCCAAAUACAAAUAACUUUGCCCAUAAAUUUCACAUAUUUAGGUCGGGAAUUGGACAAGAAACGUUUUAGAUUUUAAGGCAUAAACCGCGAAUAAUCUCGCCGAGCCACUCCAGAAUCUAGUAAAGAUAAGCCCAUAUUUCACAAGAACAUUGUACCAUAAACAAUUAAACGAUGAAAACACAACAGCACUGAAAUGUCCAUGAAGAGAUGAAAGUUUGUCAACUUUGCUGAUCUUGUCAGGACUCUUUGGGAAAAGAGGAUACUGGCAUAUAACUUCAAUCUCUGGUGCGCAUUUGUAGAAACAGAAAUGCGAGUGUAUUCCUAAUUCUUCUUUGUUUUCGAAAAAUAGCGUAGUUUUGUCCUGUCUAUAGUCAACAAUCACAGGGCAACCAAAGGCUGCUAUACUCUAUACCGUAUAUAUUUAUGGCUAUCAAAUCUUUAAAAUUACAGGAGUGCAUUAGAUUUUAACCAUUCGCUGGUGCUUCUUAUUAGUUUUGGGCGUUUAAUGUAGUUUUUAGUUAAAAAUGGAAAUGUAAGAUUGAGCAAGAAGCAAACUUUGAUAUAUGAGAAAUGCAAAAACGGUGUGACCAUAAAGUUGCUAGAUACAUUUAAUAGUAAAUAGUAUUUGCGAUUACCAUUGAUAAGAGAGCCUAUUAAAAUAUGCCACUCAUAAGAGUGCUGGUAAAAGAGGUAGGGUCACAAAUGUAAUGUGCCCACAAAUUUAUCAUCCCACAACUGUAAUAAGAAGUUGUCUACAAAUGUACUAAACCCACAAUUGUAAUAACAAGUUGCACACAACUGUAAUAACCUGGAUCUCACUAAUUGAGUACAAUUGUCUGAACUCAUAUAUAACUGACAUUCAUAAAUUGCAUUAUCGUUAUUAUUGUUGAGUCCACGAGGGAUUUGUUCAGUUCAUUAAAAACCCAUUCAGACAA